GUAGGGAAUCUUCCACAAUGGGCGCAAGCCUGAUGGAGCAACACCGCGUGAGUGAAGAAGGGUUUCGGCUCGUAAAGCUCUGUUGUUAGAGAAGAACGUGCGUGAGAGUAACUGUUCACGCAGUGACGGUAUCUAACCAGAAAGUCACGGCUAACUACGUGCCAGCAGCCGCGGUAAUACGUAGGUGGCAAGCGUUAUCCGGAUUUAUUGGGCGUAAAGCGAGCGCAGGCGGUUUGAUAAGUCUGAUGUGAAAGCCUUUGGCUUAACCAAAGAAGUGCAUCGGAAACUGUCAGACUUGAGUGCAGAAGAGGACAGUGGAACUCCAUGUGUAGCGGUGGAAUGCGUAGAUAUAUGGAAGAACACCAGUGGCGAAGGCGGCUGUCUGGUCUGCAACUGACGCUGAGGCUCGAAAGCAUGGGGAGCAAACAGGAUUAGAUACCCGGGUAGUCC
rnacentral:rRNA from 1 species